UGGCCGAGCCGAGCAGAGGUACACCACGCCACCGUCGGGAGCGCGCCGGCAGCGGCGGGCUGAGCCGCGUCACGCAGGCACGGGGCCGCCAAGGCCGAACGGAAACGCUCCUCCAGCGGCGGCCGGAACCAGGACCACCAUAUUUGGCAUUUCCUCCUCACCUUUUAUGGUACUUCCGAGGCCCAAAAAUGGUACUUCCUGCUUCCACCCUCCCGGGACUACGCGACGGAUCUUCCGGGAGUCCGCCGGCUUGAGAGCUGCAGCCGCCUCGGCACGGUUCCGCCCUCACCUCAGGGGUGACUCGGCUGGUUCCUCACGUGCAGCGGACCCUGAACGGGCCAUGGGCGGCUCUCGGUUUGGGCAGCAUCUGCUUCGCCCAGGGCCCAGCGGUAGGCCCGGAGCCGUUCGGACGCCCGCACAGAGCGGCCCAGCCCGGGGGAGCUGCGGCUGAGGGCGGGCCUCUGACCUUCUCUCGCUCCGUGUUCCGCUGCAGUUUCUUUCAUAGGGGCUGUGUCGCUUUGUAUACGUCCGUCAGAAAUAGGUACGGUACAGUUUAACCCGAGGAGUGCUGAAGAGGCCAUUGCCCACGUUCAGCCAGGUUUUUCUUCUGUAGAGCCUUUCCAUAAGCUGCUGUGAAACGUGGGGAAACGUGGACAGUCCUUGUCUAGGUGGUUGCUUUGCUCUUUAAUGGCACUGCUCGGCCUCAGGAUCUUUCUAGACGAAUAGAUUUUUCAGUCACUUUUCCUUUGGAAAUAAAGGACUGUAAGUCAGCUCUGGUGAUUCUAAAGAACCCACCUUCCCCUCGUGCGCUAUGUGGCCUGUUGCUUUGUGCCUUGUUGUGUUCUGGAAAUGCUACUAGAGAUAAAAGUUGUGAAAUGCAACUGUUAAAGCAAUUUUGGUUGCAGCUGUGAAUUGGAAGACAAACACUCUGUAAUGACUGAGUUUAGUUCUAGCACUUCUGAUGGCAGUUCAUACACUGUCAGAAUUCUGACAUAAAGUUCAAGAAAAACUACAGCACAGUAGCAUUUUGGUUGAUUCUAUUGAUUGAAGGUCUUGGCUGUGAUUCUUAUUAUUGUGUAAACUUGAGAAGGUAAGAAACUCCAGAUGUACUCAAGUGAACUGGAAAGCGGCUAUGAGUCAUUGAAUUUAAUGGCAGAAGCUUUCUGUAAUUCUGACGUUCUUCUCAAGGAUGAGGGCAUUUUGUGAACAAAACCAGGCCACCUGAGGAGUUGCAGCUGUGGCUGUAACAUGCCAGAGAUCUGUAGUGCCGUAAAAUGAACAUACAGAGAUCUUUUUUUUUUUUUUUUUUUUUUAAUGUGUCAGCGUUAAAAUGGAAUAGCUAAUAAGUGAGCAAAUGUUGACAAAAUUUGCUAAGAAAACUGUAGUAAUUGAUCAAAAGAAAUCCAGUCUCUGGUCUGUUGUCAGAGGUAGUCCUGGAAUAUUCUUCCAGCAGUUGUGACCUGUGGCUAAUAAAUUUCAUGAGCUGGAGCCUGUCUUUGUGCACUCUGUGUAACUCUAUCCAAAUGACUUACGGAGUUGGGCAAGGUUACAGCAUUCAUGGUAUUUGGCUGAAAAGUGAGUAUUAGCAUAUCCAGGUGCUGCAGGAAGUAGAGACUUCUGUGUGCUUAAACUCGCUGCUUCAUAAUUUAAUUUGAUGGCUAUUAAGACUUGUUGCAUAAGGUGAAGAAUAAUAAAGGUUCUGUGAUAGCUGCAGAACUUGGCUUCCCCUUCUCUGUGCUCUUUGUGGUUGAAAAAGCAGAGUCCGUUUUGUACAGUGAGUGGUUUGUACCUCCUGUCAUCCUUUCCCAUACCUUGUGUCAUACUCCUUUGUUGUUUCUGAUAAGUAGAGGCCUGCACUAUCCACAGGAUUCAGUGUGUCCCUGCUUGAGCAGGGGUUUGGCCAGAUGACUUCCAGAGAUCCCUUCUAACCUAAACGACUCUGCCAUUCUCUGAUGCAGGAUGAAUGUAGAGUAAUUGAAGUAUAUAGUUUUGUCUCCUAUGUUCUGUAUUACUUGCCAGAUAUUUCCAAACAUUCUGUCUGGUUUUUGAGCAGUGAUCUGAUCACUCCAGUCACUCCAGAAUGUGGAGAAAAAGCAGCAAGAGUUGGCAGAAGUAAAGAGAGGAAAGAUGGCAACAGGUGAACCUCAAAUAACUAACUAUUAGUGCAAUAAAUUCAAGAUUAAUGCACAUAGAAUGGAAACCAGGGAGAAAAAAAAGCCUCUGGGGAGAAGUCUUUUGCAUUAUGGGUGUCUUCCUGUUGGAAUCUUGCAUUACAGGAAAUUGAGGCUGCCUUGUAAACUAAAGUAUUUACUUUAAAAAAAAAAUGGGGAAAUAAGAAGUUAACAGUUAAAGUUCUACACUUGUAGAACCCCUGGGGGUCUCAGGCAUUCCUUCUUUUGCUUGGAGGAAGGCACCUCUGUGAAUGUAUUUCCUUAUUGUAACAUUUGUAUAUGGGAAGACACAUGUCUUUUUUCAACAUGCUGCAGUUUCUGCUUUUGGAAGGCAAUGGCAGUGAAUGGGUGAAACUCUGGGUGAGAUGAGGCUGUCAUUGUUAUCGCAACUAGCAGACCAAAGAGGGAGGAUGGGAUGCACCGGCUGAAUUUGUGCAAGAUGACACAGUCAUCAUGGCAAGAUAUACAGAUAGAGUAUAUGCUCUUUUUCUCUAAAGAUGAAGCUGCCACCAUUUCAGUCCUUAUUACAACUUCAAGAGAUAGUGUUUCACCACAAUAGUACUGUUAACAAGCUUUUAAACUUAUUUUGCUGCGUAACGCCUACCUUUGCAUGUCAAAACCUCUGUCUUAUUUUACAAAAUUUAUUCUGUUGGUGAAGGGGUACAGGACUGUGGUGUUGCUGUUUACUGAAAGGCAUCUUUUAAGUUCCUCUUGAGAACAAUACAUAAACCACUGUGUGACAUCCAAUUUCUAGCAUCUCUGUUCUCUCUUCCUGGCUCUUUUUCAUACCAUAACGCUAAUCCAGAGCACAACGUUUGGAGUCACUGUGGCAUACAACCAAGAGCAUUUGUGGCUGUCCAACAAGAACCUGAUUGUGAAGCUUCAGGCUUGCUGUUGAGGCUACCUCGUUUGUCAGGAAUUUGACUCCUGAUUUGAUUUUUUUUCUGAAGAAGCAAGUUCCAGUGGUCACUCACAUCCAGGCAUGAAAUCCCUUAAUUUUGUUUGAAACUUGUACUUGUCAGUUGCUCUCCAUGUGCACACUUACUGGGUAGUUUUCUUCAACAUAAAGAGUUGCCACAUAAUUAGAUAUCUUCUCCUCAUUUUGCAGAUUAUUGAAAGGCAUUUCCUUCUCCUGAAGAAUAUCUUUGUAUAUGUUACUUCUCUUUGUGAUAUAUGAGCAAUAAACUCAAGCAGAACGGCAGAGAGAAAAAGCACAUCUGAGAAAUGUUCACCUAUCAUGUCAGCAUCUUAUCUGGUGUUUUGGAAAUAGGACAAUAUGAAGUAUGUGUAGUGGAAAUACUAAGACACAGCCUGAAACAGUGAUUGGGCACCUGAUGAGAAGGCAGGGCCAACCCAGGGGAGCUCAGGUGCAAGCAGUGUAUCACUCAGUGACUGGAAGGGGUGGAGCCAGGAUCCACCCCUUCCCAGCCCUCAUUUAAGGGUUGGCAGGGGAAGGUGAGGGCAUCUCUUGCUGGAGAUCUCUGCCUACCUUUGGCUGCUUCUAUUUAACGUCUUUAUUAACGUUCUUGAUAAGGGGAUUGAGUGUACCCUCAUAUGCAGUUUACAGGUGAUACCAAGCUGGGAGGGAGUGUUGGUAUGCCAGAGGGGAGAAAGGAAAUACAGAGGGACCUAAAUAGACUAGAUUGAUGGGCCAAGGUAAACUGUAUGAGUUUCAAUAGGGCCAAGUGUCAGGUCCUGCACUGGUUGUGAAUGAGAGAAUUUAUGUCAAAUCGCUUGAUAUCCAAACCGAUCCAGUGGAUAUUUACAAGCCUUGAGUGGGCCGGAUGGAAUGUCAUAGUGGCGAGGCCAGAGAACCUGAUCCGCGCCGCAGUCCCCGGCGAUCCGGUCAAUCCGGUUAGGGAAGUUGUUUCCGCCGUCUCUGGUGCCCCCGCGUGGCCAAUCGGUGGAACUGUGGCAGCGUAUAUUGUUUGCUGCCGCCGACUGCAAGACGCCUGGAUGCGGAAGUGGCGAAUCUGAGUUUUGACCACUCUGCGCAGCCAAUCCGCCAAUCUUUAUGGUGAGAAGUCCUCAAGUCGGCAACACGCAUGCGCUCGAUGAUGUACAGAACGCACGGCUUUUGGACGAGCAUCCAAUUAGUUCGUCGCCGCGGUGGACUAGCAGGCGUCCCCUUCCACCCCUCCGCCCUGCAACGUCCCUCAUCCGUUUGCAAGCACUCUCGACCACCGUGGAACGCGAGCGGCUCGGAGAUUCGCGGUUGCAGAACCGGCGCGGAGCGGCUCCGGCACUGCAGCCUCCCGGGACCGGCACGGAGCGACUCCGCGGUCACCCCAAGCGGUGCCCUGCCAACUUCCCUAGGAGCUACUGAAUGGGCUUUUCCGUCUGUCCCGUCCCGUCCCACCCCCGACCACCGAGCUCCUUCACGUGGCGGUGCCUCACGGCUCCAGCCACCUCGCCACGCGCUGCAGAUGCUGCUCAGCAGUGGAGAGCUGCAUAUCCAGGAAUGCCCCGGAACCCAACUUAGGUGACUGCCCAAGCAGGUAAGGACCAUGCAUGUAUGCAAAUCUUUCCCUAUUUCACCGCGUGGCAUAAUGUAGUGCUUCCGGAGCUCGUUACGACGUGGUAGGGCACCUUCUUGGCUGCGUGUUCAUUUCCUCCUGCCUUUCCCUUGCUUUCCCCAUGUUUCCACCUUGCUUUGCCCUGUUAUUCCCACUGCCUUCCUCUGUGUUACUCAGGUGUUGUGCUUCCUUUGUGAAUAUCAAAUCCUUGAGCACUGCUGCUCCACGAGAGAGUUAUCCAGUCGGCUUGCAUUAGUUCGCUUUGUGCCCAGGGCCUUUUUCUGGGGCCCUAGAGCAUAGAAGCGAAUAUCAGCUGGGGGCCUCAUUGGCUGGGAUGUAGCUUUAAAUUAAACCUUGACCCGGACUCCAAGCCACAUAGGAACUGUAAAGAUAACUGUAUUAACACACAGUGUAACUCUAGUACUAACCCUUAUCCUGACGCUAAAAUCAUCUCUGACUCUAAAUGUAACAAUAAAAAUCAUGCUCAAAGUUUGUAGCAAAAGGAACCUUAACCCUGAUCAUAAUCCAAAGAACAGUCGUUGAAGUAACCGAUCUUCACCCUAAAAGUAACGUUUAUCAUAGGCUAAUGACCCGAAAAUAAUUGUACCAGCCAUCACCCUGAAGAACCCCUGAAAAUGACCCAGAGAAGUCACUGUAAAAGUAACGCUGACGGUAUUCUCAGUCCUAAGGGUGACUCUAACCUCAGUGCUAACAGAAUGCUAAGGAUCAUUGUAGUGGCCCUAAAAUUCUGGUAGUGUGACAGCAGUGCUGCCCUGCACAUGUUGGGCAGUCCCAUUGGUAUUGCAUUGCCUGCUAAAUACAGGUGGCAGUGCAGUGUUGCUCCCAGGCAGUACAAGGACUGCAAGGACAGCUUUCUGGCUCUCCGUGACAACAGCAGGCAAGCUGAGCGUUCCGGAAUGUCCUGGAACCCAACUUGCUGCCUGACUGCUUGUUGCUCAAAUAGGUCAGAGCAAUGCGUAGACUCAAGUAUAUGGUCAUUAAGUAGUGUGGAAUGCUCUGUUUUUCCCAGAGCUCAUUAAUGUGCCUUAUGGCAUCUUUGUGCCUUAGAUCUCUCUCCGGGGCACAGGAGCAUAGAAGCAGGUUGUGUGUGGGGGGUCAGAUUUGGGGGGCAGGCGAUUCCCUUGGUGGGGUCCAAGUGGUGGGUCCAGAGCCCAAACCCAAAUGAACCGAAUGCUGCCCGGGUUUGCGGAAGGCCUCCUGGGUUCACAGCUAGGAAAUGCACUGCUGGGAGGCCAACAGAAUGAAUUGAGGCCAGGGGCAGUUAGCACAAAGAGCUCCUGGCCUUGGGUCUCAGUUGCUCUGACUCGCUGGAAAAUAUUCCCCCGAGCUUGCAGGUUUUCCUCCCAGUAAGCUGGUACUCUGUUCCACUUCCUUAGUAUGUAUCCCUAGAAGGAGGGUUAUAGAAGAAGAAGAGACAAGAUCUGAAGCAUUUUAAAAACUAACAAAAGAGCAGAAAAGAAACUCCACACCAAACUGCACUGACCCAGUGAAGACAGCAGAUUGAAUGGUGGAAGGCUUUGAGAACUGUUCUGUUGUUCACUUGUGGUUUCAUUAGUCAUGAACUUGCACACCUUAAUUUUUCAGGCCGCUUGGUGUUUGUUGGCUGAUGGAAGCCCCCUCUGUCACUUGGCUGAUGAUUAAUUUCACAAAAGAACAACAGCAUCACUGAUGCGGUGGUGCCUUUUUUCGUUCAAGCUGAAGUUGUGGUCACCGUUUCCUUUGGUCUUGAACAGUGUGGCACUAGGCUUGACCCAGUGUGAAAUCUGAACUGUGGCAGUAAAGUUCAGUUCUGAAGGAGGCUCCAACUCUUGGGCUGAUGCGGGCAGCAAAAAGUUCCAUCAUUCACAGAGGAUGUGGAGACAGUGAGGCAGCAAAAUAGAAAACAGCCCAGUUUAGAAAGAAAGGCAUUUUCAAACAUCUUCAGGGUGCUUCCGGCUCUGAUAGUAAUCACUGCUAAAAGCAAUUAGUCCUUCUGGGCUUCUCAGGAAACUCAGGAAUUUGGGGACAAAAUGGAGAACUCACUGCUCUAACAAAUGACAUUCCCCUUCGUCAGCCCCAGAUAUGCCUGGCUUCUGACUUCUCCACAUGCAAAAAAGCGGCCUCUCAGGUGCAACUUUUUUCAGUAUUGCUUGUUCUGAAAUAUUUAAGCGUGGGAUCUGUCCCUCUCUGUUCUUUGCAGGAGGUCAUUUCUCACUGUGAAAGGCUUUCUAAGGAGCAUGAGAAGCAGCUCUUUGACACCACGAGGCUGAGCAAGCAAAAGGGUGGUUUGAAAUCUUUGAGCAAAAAGAGGGGAAAAAAGCUGGAAGCAUGUUGGCAUCUGUUCUACUUCCUUGCACUGCACACAUCUGUCCGAUUGAUACCAUGUUUUUUCAUCACCUCAGAUGCAGGCUGAAAAAAAAUAUAUAUUUUUAAAAAAGCAUGACAACAUCAAGUUGCUGGUUAUUUAUUUAUUUAUUUACACAUAUUCAUAAGCACGUAUACAUAAGCAGUUUUCUUUGGUUUUCCUCGUCGUCUCUCCUUCUCCCUCCUCUCCUCCUUCUGUGUUUUUUUUUUUUUUUCCCUCAGCAGCUCUGGGGAAACUCACCAAGUGCUCUGGUCAGGAGGAUCCCUGGGCUGCCCUGCACCUCUUCCAGAAUUCAUCUUUGCUGGUCCCAGCAUGCAACGGUCAGAGAGCCCACCUUCUUUGUGCCAUCAGCUCCCUCACCUGCAGAACUGGCUUUUAAAUGGUGCCCAAGAGCUGGGAAAGCGAUGUUUAGGAUUCAGUAUUCAUAGAAUCGCAGAAGGGUGCUGCAGCAUGGCACCCCAUGAGUGGCUGUGUGUCACCUCCAGUGGCACCUGCAGGGACAGCCCAGCACUGUGUGGGGAUGUGGGGGCAGGACUAAUCGGGGAACAGUGGGGACCUUGUGGGGACAUUAGGGGAAGUGAGGAGUGGGGGACACCGGGACAUGGGGAUAUGGAGAGGGACAUCAUGGGGAUGUUGGGGGGGACUUUGGAGGGGGACUUUGAGGACAAUAGGGGAACACUGGGCAAUGUGGAAACACUGGGACAUGGGUACAAACACAGGGGACACUGUAGGGACCCAGGGACAGGUGCCCUCACUGAGGUGGCCCUGGCUCUGUGGAAUACCAUCCCCAAGGGGUGCCAGAUGGUACCCGUGGUCCCGUGUGUGUCCUCACCGCGGUUGCACAGUGUCAGCACUGUGGUCAUGUUGGCCAUGUGGCCGCCCAGCAGCAGCAUGGCACUGGGUGUCACCAUGACCUCCAGGUUGGGCUGGCAGUGCUCAUCUGUCACGUAGUGCUGCUUGAAUGGCACCAGCACCUCCUGAUGCGGCCUGCUGCCUCCCUGUGUCACCUCCAUGUGUCACCUCUUCUCACCUCUGUAGUUCUGACCCCACAUGUCCCUGUGUCCCCACACAUCCCCUGAUGUCCACAUGUCCCCUCAAGUCCCCCCAUGUCCCCCGCCCCACUUCGCUCCAUGCCGAUGUCACCGUGGGCUAGAGAAUGGGGACAGGGAUGCCUGUGGGGUGCGUGGAGUCCAGGGAGAAGUUGAUGGCCAUGUGCAGUGGGGUGAUGGUGUCCUCGGGGUGCAGCUGUGACAGUGGGGUGGGAGUAGUACCCAACAAGUGGGGGUCAUUGUCCCCACAGUGGGGCUUGUCCCCCAUGCAUGUGGGCAAGUUGUACAGGGAGUGCAUUCUGGAGAUGAUUUUCUGCAAAUCUGUUGUGACUUCAGAAAUCCCACGUCGUGCCACAGCAGAAAUGGGGUACUGCAGUAUGUCAGUGAUCUCUGAUUUGAGGAGCUCAGGGGCUGCACAAAGUAAACACUCUGCAGCCUCCCUAUUUCUUUGGGGUUUGGGAUCGAUGUUUGAGUCAAAAGGCUACAUGCUGCCAUACAGGCAGGUGCCAGGUUCACCCACUGAGGACACUAAAUCCUACACUAUUUUCACAGUGGUCUUCAAUUGCAAAGUGAGUAGAUGACACGUUUCUCACUGGAGAGCCAUAAGCUGAUCCAGGCAGUUUGGCAGACAGCACUCACUCUGUUCACACCUGGAAUCUCAGCCCUUUUGUUGCACGUGCAGCUUCUCAGCAUCUUGAUGUAUCAGUAUUGAAAUCUGUGCUACCCUGUCUAUUAGAAAUUUCACCAAUUGCCUUUGAGGACAGACUGGAAUCAAAAUAUGUGGGCCAUCAUAACUUGUCCAUUGAUAAACCUCCUUGCCUUGGACAAGCAGACCCAGCUGGCCAAUUUUUUGCUUUUUUUUUUUUUUUUUUUUGCCUUUAUGGGAACUUUGAGAUCACAGCCUGAAGCAGUGAUGGAACACCUGGUGAGGGGUGUAGCCAGCCCUGCAAGCACAGGUGGAAGGAAUUCCAGAUGGGGCUGAGCCUGUCUCCACCCCUCCCUAACCUCAUGUAAGGGCUGGCAGCCCCAGAGGCAUUGUCUCUAUCUGGAGCCUGCUUCCUGUAGGUUGCUGGGUGAGCCCUGGUCCUGGGAAAGAAGUAAGUGAUUCUUUCUUUAUUGCAGGGGUUUUGAUCUCUGCCUUUCUGAGGGGAUCCUAAGCUGGUUUAGGGCAGCUAUAUCUGCUAUGCCUGUCCUUGUGAUGCCCUUCAAUUGUUCUCUGAGAAAAGUGAAGAGGUUAUCUCCCUUUCUCUGACCUGGUAAUAGAGAGACUGACGUACAUUCCUUUCUUUUGUUAUUAUCUCAUUUCUGGAGUGCUUCAAUCAGCCCCAAGGUAAUGCUGGCUGGCUUACUGAGCACUGCAACUCCAGAAAUGCCUGGAGCUGGUGCUCUUUUCCAUAAAGGGAUUCUGUGUUUUCUGGAUCUUCUUUGCAAUUCUUUUUAAGCUCAAUACCUUCUUGUUAAGUCUCUGUUCCCUUUCAUGAUUCUCGUCUCACAAUCUCCAACCUGGGGCUCUAAACUUGGUUUGUCUGCCACCAUGUUGUCCUAGCCCAUUUUGUGAUGUGUACUCUCUGUGUCCCCCUCCGUGUUCUCUCUGUGUCCUCAUGCCCCACUCAUGUCUUUGUGUCCUCUCCCCAUGUCUGCUCUGAGUCUCCUGUGCCGUGUAUUAAUUCCACCCAUGCAGAGUAUUGUUUAAGGUCAUGUAUUUAAAUUACAUGCGUCCCUUUUGAUCUCAUUCUAUUUUGCAGCUCAAUGGGGUUUAAGGAUUUCUGGGGCUCCUCUAGCUAGUGGUUUAAGCACUGUGAAAUCUUUGGAGCAGAUAAUGGAACACCACGAGCCCCUUGUUCUUGCAUGGCUUGUAUGCAGGCAGGUUUUGUGGUAGCUGUGGGAAGCUCACUUAAAGAUGAAAUGUGGGUCACAAGGGGCUCACCUUGCUCCGUGGGGUCUAUUUUUCCAGCCCAAUAAGCUACAUGGCUAGUGAUAGAGUGAGGUGCAUCUACCAGGCUGGGACCUGAGCUUAAGAAAACCCCCAGGCCCCAGUAGCCAUUUUCUUCAUCCUCACUUGGUGCAAUACAGUCUCCACUGCUCGACCAUACUAAACACAAAUAUUCUGUUCCUGUUUUGUCUGGUUCUCUCCUAUAUCGCCCUUACAAAUUUGCCAGUGGUAACAGAUGCCAGGGCAUAAUUCUCAGAGCACGCUGUGGCCGACCACCCUGGGGUCCUGUGGUACUUCCUGUUUUUAUGGCAGAUCUGGCUUUGUAUUUAUAGGAGACAAGGGAUUGUCCUCCACUGGACUGCUUUGUCAGGAUGACCCCAGAUAUCUCUAUUCCAGUUGUCUGGGGAUGCUAUUAGCUUCCUAAUCUGUAUGAUUCCCCAACCCCCCGCCCCUUUUCCUUCCAUCCCCCGUCCCCACUAAAUCUGCAGCUAUGGGACUGAACAGCGUGAUGAAGUGGGGCCUCUGAUCUGCUGAAUACUGAGACUGACACAGAGAGGCUCCACGGCUGAUCUGGAUCUUCCUGUUUGGAGUACUUUGUGAUUUUCUCCAGAGCUGCUGAGCACGCAGGCUUCCCUGCCUGCCCUUGUUGCACACCAGGCCAUUGAUGUCCUUUGUGUCAUCAUGUCUCAUGGCUUCAGGUAUCAUACCAUAAACUCCUUAGAGUUGGAAAGGACCAUUUAUGAUGAUCUAGUCCAAUUUCCCUACAGCAAACAAGGACAUCCACGGCUAGAUCAGGUUGCCCAGGGCCUGAUCCAGCCUCACCUUGAAGGGGACAAGGCAUCCACCACAACUCUGGGCAACCUGUUCCACUGCCUCACCACCCUCGCUGUAAAAGAUAUUUUCCUUAUGUCUAACCUAAAUGUUCCCUUGUUCUUUCCUUUAGCUCCUCUUUAGGUAUUGAAAGGCUGUUACCAGGUCACCUCAGAGCCUUCACUUCUGCAGGCUGAACAGCCCCAGCUCCCUCAGCCUGACCUUGUAGGAGAGGUGUUCGAUCCCUUAGUUCACUUUUUUUGUGGCCAUCCUCUGGCUGUGCUCCAACAGGUCCAUGUCUCUUCUGCACUGAGGACUCUACAUCUGGAUGGAGUACUCCAGGUGAGGCCUCUUCAGUACAGAGCAGAGGGGCAGGAUCACCUCCCUGCACCUGCUGACCACGCUUCUUUUGAUGCUGACCAGGAUAUGGUUGGUUUUCUGGGCUGGGAGGGCACAUUGCUGGCUCACGUCCAGCUUGCCAUUCACCAGUACCUCCAGGUCUUUUGGGAGAGGCCUAUGCUCAGUCUUUUCAUCCCCCAGCAUGUAUUGGUAGUGGGGGGUUCUCUUGUCCCACGUGCAGGACACUGCACCUGGAUUUUUUGAACCUGAUGAGGUUCACCUGUGCCUGCUGCUUGAGCCUGUCUAGGUCCCUCUGUUUGGCGUCCUGUCCCUCUGGUGUGUCACCCCACAGCUUGGUGUUGUCAGCAAAUUUUCUGAGGGUGCACUCGACCCCACUGAUGAUGUCACUGAUGAAGAUAUUGAAGAGUAUCAGCCUCAGCAUGGACCCCUGUGGGACAACACUCAUCAUCAAUUGCCAUCCAGGUGUGGAGCCAUUGACCGCUGCUCUCUGGACUCAGUCCUGCAGCCAGUUCUUUGUCCAUUCAACAGUCCACCCAUCAAAACCGUAUUUUUCCAGCUUCCUAAAGCAGCUUCCUAAAACUCAAUCCAAUUGAAAUUCUCUGCUGUCUAGUAACAUGGACUUCUAUGAGACUGCGAGCUCAGGCUUUACAGGCCAGCAGUGGAGCCAACCAGGAGGCUUCUGGAUUUUCAAAAAGGACUGAGAAGGCUGAGAAUGAGGUGCUUUGUUUGACUUUUUACUGACUGUCUCACUUAAGGAUUCUGUCAGUCCGUAGGCAUGUUUGCUUGGUUUGGCUGGAGCUUUGGAGCUUGGUGCUUAUGACUUCAGUUCUUUCUGACACAGAGCUGCUUUGGACACUUGCUGCCUAGACCAAAUACAUACUUUGGCAGAGAUCACUCUAUGCACUGUUGUGGUUUUUUUUUUUUUUUUUAAUGUUUUGGAAGUGUGAAUGUGAUAUCUGCCUUCAAACAGGGAAUGUCUAAAAGAAAUUUAUUUAUUUAUUUUCUUGGAGCAGUCGUUCAGGGAAAUGUGGAUUCUUUCUUCUCUGCUGCUAUGUUUCCUGUAGUGGUAUUCUAGGAAUGGCUUCUGUCACUGAUUGCUUACUUGCUUAUUUUCAGUACUGAAAGAAAGCUACCAUUCUUUUUCUUCUGCCUACGUAGAACUCCCUUUGUUUCCUUUGUAGUUUUGAGCUGCGCUCUGGAACAGAAUGUACAGCUUGAUCUAGAACAGUUGCCAAAUAGGUGUCUGUGGGCAGAUGGUGCUGAACUUCCCAGACACAGGUCAUAAAGUUCCUUGCCUCCUUGCAAAUGUUCCUGUAUAUUCUUAUAUAACAUAUGUUACUGCUGUACUGAGAUUAUUAUUACAAAUCCAUUAUCUGUUUCCCAGAGGUGAUGCUGAGAAGCAUGCCACAUGAUGACAUAUGCAUACCUUGUGCUUCAUUUUAAUUCUUCCUUCAGGUCAAAAGUAGACUGAAAUCAUUGAAACUGUGCCUGGAAAUCUUGCUGUUAUUUAAACCGUUCAGCCGUGCUGCCCAUGGUCAGAAUGCCCUGCGGCAGAUCCUGGCACUGGUUGUGAAUGAAAGAACUGACAACAAAUUGCUCAAUAUCAAAUCUGAUCUCCUGGAUCUUUACAAGCCUUGGGUGAGCCAGAUGGAAUCUAAGAUGGGUGAGGCCAGGUAUGGAAGCUGUUACUGUGAUGUUUCUUAUAAGAGUUGCACGGCUGUUUUGCACUGCUCUGUUGAUCGUUCCAAGGCACCCUUGGCUUCGCUGCACGCAUCUGUCCGAUUGAGACCAUGUUUUUUCAUCACAUCAGAUGCUGGCUGAAAUAUAUGUAUGUAUAUGUAUUUAAAAAAAAAAAAAAAAAAAAGACGUGACAAGAUCAAUUUCCUGGUUAUGUAUUUAAUUAUUUGCAGGUAAUGGUAAGCACUUAGGACUAGUUUGGUGGGUGAGUCGAAGUUUUCCUUGUUUUUUUUUAAGUCGUCUCCCUUUCUCCCCCCCUUUCCUCUCCUGUGUUUUUUUUUUUCCACUGCUAUCGAAAGAAAGAGACGAGCGGAUACCCGUCGCAGGCCCUGGCGAACCGGUCAAACCGGUCGGGGGAGUUGUUCCCGUGGUAUCUCGUGCCCCCUCAUGGCCAGUCAGCGGAACUGCAUCGGCAUGGUUUCCACGGUCACUGGUGCCCUCUCGUGGCCAAGUGUGGGAACUGCGAAGAAUUAGUUUCGGCUCUCCCUGGUGCCACCACAUGGCCAAUCGGUGGAAUUGCAGCCGUGUUUGUUAGGAGGCGGAGGCAGCAAAACGCAUGCCCACAGACUCGCGGAAAUCAUUUAUGUAUUGUCCGGUCUUGCGCAGCCCAUCCUUCGAUCUUUAUUAUACUUAGUCCUCCAGGCAGUGCUACGCAUGCGCCGUGAAGCUUAAAAUUAGCAUCCAUUCCUCCUAAGCCCCGAGGGCCGGGCGGGCAGUCAAUUCCUGGUCCUCGGGCUCAGCGCUUCUUUUCUCUCUUGCGGUGUUGAGUGUUCGUUGCCUUUUUGCUCGGGGGGUUUGACACGCGGGCCUGCCACGGAAACUGACUAUUUUGGCUCCGAACGUACCCUACGCCCGUCGCAUGCGUAAUAAGAAGUCGAAAAACAGCAUGCUUAGGUGUGUGCCCGAAAAUACGCAUGAGAAAUAGUAUGUCCACGUUAGAAAACACUAGAGUACCACCGAGACUGGCGAAUGUAUUUCACUGUCACGGGAGUGCGCAUGCGUACUGCCGCCUCGCAGUUCGCGCAUGCGUACGGACGUCACGAGGUUCGCACAUGCGUAUUACGUUUAAGGAUCUCGCGCAUGCGUAAUACGUGCAUUAGGCUAGCACAUGCGUACUGGCGUCUCGAGGUUAGCGCAUGCGCAAGGAUGUCAAGCCUACGGCGCAUGCGUAGUACGCCCUAACCGGUUGCGCAAGCGUACUGUGGUUUCAAGGCUAGCGCAUGCGUACUGCCCCCCCCACCCAAAAGGAACGGCGCAUGCGUACUGCUACCUGGGGAUACACGCACGCGUACUGCCAUCACGAAGAUUGCACAUGCGUACAGCCGUACCGAAGAUGGCGCAUGCGUACUUUCGUCUCGCGGUUCACGCAGCCGUACUACACUCACACAUGUCGCGCUUGCGUACUACCAUCUCGAGGCUCGCUCAUGCCUAGUGCUGUCAAGGCUAUCGCGCAUGCGUAGCACAGCUACGUGACUCGCGCAUGCAUACUGCCGUCUCACGACUCCCGCAUGCGUACUGCCGUCUCGGGGCUCGCGCAUGCGUAUUGCCGUCUCGGGGCUCACGCAAGCGUACUGCCGUCCAUAAUAUCGCGCAUGCUUACUGCCAUCUCGAAAUUCGCGCAUGCAUAGUACCAUCUUCAAUCUAGCGCGUAAGUACUGCAGUCACCCGGCUCGCGCAUGCGUACUGCUGUCUAUGACGUCGCGCAUGCGUAGUGCCGUCCUUAAUGUCGCGCAUGCGUACUACCGUCACGGACCGCGCGCAUGCGUACUGCUGUCGCGAAAUUCGCGCAUGCCUACUACCGUCUCGAAUCUCGCGCAUGCGUACUGACGUCCAUAAUGUCGCACAUGCGUACUGCCGACUCGCAGUUAGCGCAUGCGUACUGCCGUCUCGCAGUUAGCGCAUGCGUACUGCCAUCUCGACGCUCGAGCAUGCGUACUGCCUGCUCGCGGCUCGCGCACGCGUACUGCCGUUCAUUCUGUCGCGCAUGCUUACUGCCGUCUAUAAAACUGCGCAUGCGUACUACCAUUUCGCGGCUCGCGCACGCGUACUGCCGUCCAUGAUGUUGCGCAUGCGUACUGCCGUUCCGAAGCUCGCGCAUGCGUACUGCUGACUGUAAUGUCGCGCAUGCUUAUUACCGCCUCGCGGCUCGCGCAUGCAUACUGCUGUCCGUAAUAUCGCGCAUGCGUACUACCGUUUCGGGGCUCGCGCACGCAUACUGCCGUCUAUAAUGUCGCGCAUGCAUACUGCGGUCAGUAAUAUCGCGCAUGCGUACUACCGUCUCGGGGCUCACGCAUGCGUACUGCCGGCUCCAGGCUCGCGCAUGCGUACUGAGGUACAUAAUCUCGCGCACGCGUACUGCGGUCAGUAAUAUCGCGCAUCCGUACUGCCAUCUCGAGGAUUGCGCAUGCUUACUGCCGUCUCGAAGCACGCGCAUGCGGACUGCCGUCUACAACGUCGCGCAUGCGUACUACCGUCUAGCGUUUCGCGCAUGCGUAUUGCCGUCUCAAGACUCACGCAUGCGUACUGCCUUCCAUGACGUCGCGCAUGCGUAUU
ensembl:lncRNA